AUUGAGAACAUUCACAUUGAUUUGCAUUUCUUAAUUUUUGAGUUAGCAUUUCGUUUAAAAUAAGACUAAGCCUAGCACUACGGAGGUUGCACAUUAAGAUGUAGGUUUACACAAUAUUAGAUCAAAAACGAAAUAAUGAAGUAAUUAGUAAAAUUUAAUCGCAUCACUGAUUUAAAGUUACUGCUAAAAAAACAUGUAAUACUAAUUAUGUUUCUUUAAGAUCCUGCCCGAGCUCUAAUUAAUUUUAUGUUUUUAGGAUUAACAAUAGCAAUCAAUAUACUGGACAAUUGAUCUGUCAAUUAAUUACCGCGACGACAUUUUUUAAAUAAAACAUAACUAUUUAUUGAUUUCAAUACAAA
rnacentral:lncRNA from 1 species